rnacentral:ncRNA from 1 species
UCCACUUCAUGCGCCUUAUAUUCAGAUUAGAAAGUUCUUCUGGGGCCUGUGCGACCCGCGGGGCCCUGGGCGUUAGCCGGCUCUGACAUUUCGCAAUUACCGAGCAUUUUCUGUUGACUUACUCACUUACGAGUAUUCGCAUUCGCAUUCGCAUUCGUACACUCUCAUUCGUAUUCGUAUUCGUAUUCGCAAGUAUUUCUGAACGUUCUCCCCGGCAAUAUGUUAAUUUGUCAGAUUUGAAUAUCUGCGACGUUUCCCCGAAUGCUGAAUGCUGGAUGGGGGAUGGGGGGCUGGCACGUACACCCACAGCCCACACAGUAUUGGCACAAGGCUAUGUAUAUUAAAAGUUUAAUGGAUAAGUUUAGCACAACAGGAAUUGUCAAUUGCCGCCACAUUCCCCUCAAAAAGCAGGAAAAUUGAGUAAUUCUUAAAGGAUGCCCCCCCCCCCCCCCCCCCCCCAAAAUUUUUGGGGGCACAUAGGGGGAAACGUUUUUUAUAUGUUCAAGGGUCUUGCCCCGGAAAAGCCCAAUACUAAUUUCCCUAAACAAAAAAGUGGUCAUUGGUUAUAAAAAUUAUCAAAAAACAAAAAAUUCCGAACUGGCACGGACUUGGGGAAUCCAACUGUUUAACUAGAUGCCCGCGGUGUGAUGGGCGUAGGGCCUGCUGACACUAUGUCAUUUCUGCCCAGUGCUCCCCAAUGUCACAGACCACGAAAUACAAAAAAAGCGCGGAACACCCGCGGGGAGUAUCUAUCACUCUCUUAAGGUAUCCAGAUGCCUCGGCAUCGGAUUAAAAGACGCGCAUGACUGGAUUUAACGAGGAUUACUACUGUCCCUAUCUACUAUCGAUCCAAAGCAACAGCCUACGUAACGGCCUUGGAGAUAGUAUUCGGGGAAAGAAUACUCUCUCUCAGCUUGACUCUAAGCUGGCAA